rnacentral:rRNA from 1 species
GCUCAACCGGGGAGGGUCAUUGGAAACUGGGAAACUUGAGUGCAGAAGAGGAGAGUGGAAUUCCACGUGUAGCGGUGAAAUGCGUAGAGAUGUGGAGGAACACCAGUGGCGAAGGCGACUCUCUGGUCUGUAACUGACGCUGAGGAGCGAAAGCGUGGGGAGCGAACAGGAUUAGAUACCCUGGUAAUCCACGCCGUAAACGAUGAGUGCUAAGUGUUAGGGGGUUUCCGCCCCUUAGUGCUGCAGCUAACGCAUUAAGCACUCCGCCUGGGGAGUACGGUCGCAAGACUGAAACUCAAAGGAAUUGACGGGGGCCCGCACAAGCGGUGGAGCAUGUGGUUUAAUUCGAAGCAACGCGAAGAACCUUACCAGGUCUUGACAUCCUCUGACAAGCCUAGAGAUAGGGCUUUCCCUUCGGGGACAGAGUGACAGGUGGUGCAUGGUUGUCGUCAGCUCGUGUCGUGAGAUGUUGGGUUAAGUCCCGCAACGAGCGCAACCCUUGAUCUUAGUUGCCAGCAUUUAGUUGGGCACUCUAAGGUGACUGCCGGUGACAAACCGGAGGAAGGUGGGGAUGACGUCAAAUCAUCAUGCCCCUUAUGACCUGGGCUACACACGUGCUACAAUGGACAGAACAAAAG